GUCAAUGACCUGGAGAUACAUUCUAUGUUUAGGGAGUUGGCUGUAUUUAAAUGGGGCUUAAAGUUGUCACACCUGUAAUUGAACUGUUUCAAUGCAUUUUGUCUGCACAAUCAGGUUCCAGGUAAUCUAUGGUCCUUCAAAACAAGUAAGAAAGUGCAUGCAAUUCCUUAAGAGGAGCUUGCUAUAUAUAUGAAAGCAGAUUCAGGAUGUUAUUUCCAUUACUUAAUUGCUUUAGACCUUUGUUUUCUCUGUCCCUCCUUAAAUUUUUACAAGUUAUCUCGAGGAAGGACCUUCCAGUGCUGUUCCUGGCAGAGGGAUACAAUGAGAGCUGGCAUGAUUUCAUGUGCCCACCACUGACAUCGACCCUCAGCACCCUGAGCAUGACAAGAGAUAUGUGCAAAGCCCAGGAGCUCCAUCCAACCUACCCCAAUCCCACUCCUCCUGCCCCAGAACUGGGGAGCACCUGAUGCCACCCAUAGGAGCUGGAAAAUGAGGAAAAAGGACAUUGCAGCUGCUUUGCUGGCCUGGCUGGCUGCUGAGCCCUGCUGCAUCUUGGAAAUUUCCCCAAGGGUUUGCACAGCUCGGAUAUUUCAG
rnacentral:lncRNA from 1 species